ACAGCUCAAGGGCGCAAAGUGGUUAGAGCAUCCGCCUCAAAUGCGGGAGGUCGCGCGUUCGAACCCCGGCCGAGUAAUG